rnacentral:lncRNA from 1 species
AAGUGAUGAAAAUUUGGGUUAUGGGAGUAUUUUUGAAAGAAAAAUCAAAAACCGAUGGUCAAAACGCAAUUUAAAAAAGUUACGCCACGUCAGCUGCCUAGUCAGCAGCCCGACCAACCAGGACGCGCCAGGUGGCAGAGGCACUGACGCAAGAGGUCACACGGGGGGAGCCACGUGGGCGAUCCACGUGCACGCGAUCGAACGGCUGAAAUCUGUUCCCGCAGGCACGAAAAGCCCAGAUCAAAAACGCGCACGGACGGCCCAGAUUGAAUCGCGAUGAAUGGUGCAGAUUCACUCCCUAUUUAAUCGCGAUCAGACGGUCCAGAUUAAAAGCGAUGGGCGACCCAGACCAAAAGCGAAUGAGUAUAAAUAACUCCAUCCGCAAUCAAACCCUAACCCUAGCCACUAGAGCCCCUCGCUAGAGAAGACAGCCCAGCCGCCAGGGAGCCGACCACCGCCACCGGCCGCCAUACUGGAGCAAUGUUCGACCACCAAACGAGAUAAAAAUUUCUUCUCUUGCACGAAAUUCAAUUUUAAACCCACUCAUGGCAAAAUCGGAGUGAAAGAACUAGUUGAUUGGCAAGCCGCAGGGUGUUUCGAAAAAUGCCUUCGAUGAGGCCCUUCUCGAUUCCCGUUAGAUGUGAUUUUUCUACCGUUGUGACCACCGUUUUCUUCUCUACAGGUUGAGCGAGCUAAAACACCCAACCACAACGUGAGCCGGAGGAGCCGCUGCACCAGAGAGCCUCACCGCCGGUGAGUUUCGGUUUUCUGCUUUUUUUGGUCCACCGAGUGCCCUAAGCUUGUUUUCUCGCAGGAACCGAUGCAAGUUCGGCUGAAUUCGGCCGAAAACAGCCAACUUGAGGCGGAUCGCGCGGCAGUGCUGUCGCCGGAGCACGGCGGAGCUGCCGUGCCGAAAUUCCAAAAUUAGCCUAGUAGGCCCUGAGUCUGAUUUUUGGGUUUAUUUGGGACACUUUUAGGUACCGUAAGCGCGUUUCAGUUCCUGAAAAAAAAUUCAGGGAACCUAGGGACCGCCUGUAGGUGUAGUAACCAUAUAGUUUUCGGCGUCGAAUCAAGUAAGGACCCCUCACCUUAUUUUCUAUCAUAUAUGUGAAGUUUGAAUAAAUAAUAAUAUGGUCCUAUGUAAAAGUUAGAUAAAUACGUAUAAUUAAUUACAUAUUGGUAAUGGAGCCCGAAAUCGGACAUUAUUUUCUGUUGAUUUCUUUUGAUUUAUUUUACAGUUUAAAUGUAUGAUUGUAUCUGGUUUAUCUAUUCUAUAAUUUUAAAUGCAUGUAUUACUGUAUUACUUCACUACUAUUUGAUUUUGGGAAUCUAAGAUAUGACUGCAUUGUUGGAUGCAAGUUACUUGUUUAUAUAUUUAUGUUUGAGUUGGUAACGGAGACUAAAGACAAAUAGGAAUGGGAUGUGAUCUGACAAAUAGAUAAGAUGACAGUCUCACUAGAUAUCCUGGGAGAUAGUGAACGGACCGGGUUCAUAGGGAACCAUACCGUGAAGGUUGUCUCAUACUGGAUGGGGUAUGAACACUUGGUCAUUUGGCGCUCAUACCGGACGGGGUAUGGGGACAGCCCGCUUCACUCUCAUACCGGACGUGGUAUUGACGUUUAAUAUCUUGGCGCUCAUAUCGGACGGGGUUUGGGAACGGCCUUGGUGCUCAUACCGGACGGGGUAUGGGGACGGCCUUGGCACUCAUACCGGACGGGGUAUGGGGACAGCCCGCUUCAUUCUCAUACCGAAUGUGGUAUUGACAUUUAAUGUCUUAGCACUCAUACCGGACGGGGUAUGGGGAUGGUCGUGGAAUUAAAAUUGUUAAGGAGAAGGGUUCACGUGUACCGGGAACACCCCUAUGGAUCCUCAUGGAUACUAGUAGGCUGGUGAAACGAGAAACGGUGAUGAUUAGUUAUUGUUAAUGAAUAUGAAUUUAUGAUAUAUUUUAUGUUACUGAUUGUGCAUGAAGUUAUGAUCUAUAUGAUGUUAUUAUCUUUAUAGGUUAUUUUCACAUGUUCUCCAAUUGUAAGAAAAAUAGAAAAUGGUUUUAUCUUUAAUGAAUAUAUUGGUUUAAAAUUUGUGCUCCAUUGGUUAUUUUUGGUUUUCUACCAACCUUCACUUGUGUGACGGCGAUAUAGUGUAAUGUCGUUACUGGGUUAGUGUAGCUCACCCUUUAUUUAACCAUUUCAGAUCAGGAGGACCCAGUUCCCGAGCCCGAUCCGCAAGAAGGCUACGAGAAUAUGUUAGAUACUUUAUAGUUUCCUUUAUUUUUUUCAUUUUUCGUAUUUCUUUCAAAGAAUUUGUUCCAUAAUGUUUGUUAGUACUUUUGAGUUAUCGUGUAAGAGAUAUUAACCUUAACCUUUAUUUCGCUUCCGCACUCAAAUUAUUAUAUGCAUUUUAAAAUUUCUGGAGUCAUUACAAGAUCGAUCUUCGAGAAUACCUGGGUCCCUACAAUUGAUCCAAAAAACUGUCUAUCCUUUAGAGCGGAUACUUGUUCUUAAUAGUCAUUCAAUUAAGCUCUUUGUAGUCUAUGCAUAGUUGCAACACGUUAAGGAUAUAAUUGUUAU